UCAGUACUCUUUGCUUUGAUCUUCAAUAUUUGCAUAUGUGAUAUUAGUAAUGUGCCAUCAGUCCUAAUGGGUUUAUUUUUACAGGGCAUGCUUGAAAUUUUUCUGCUGAUCAGAUAUCAAUACUUUGGUAAAAAAUGAGAAGUCUAGAAUUGAGAAUCAUAGUCCACUUAUAGUAGAAACUGUGGAGCACUUCACAGGUCAAUCAAAUUGUGAUAUUCAUGUUGGCCUGGUUUCAACUAUGUUUGGUAGCACUGCAAAUGCUAGCUUUGUUAAUCACUCAUUGUGGCGGAGGCCCAUACAUAUUGUGACACAGCUGCUGGGUUUAGUCAGACCCAUAAAAGGAAAGUCAAAGGGACACCAGGGUCAGGGAUACUUUUGUCACUUUAUGUUGUUGCUUGCAUUUUGGUGUCUGUUUCUCUUGUGGGGCACUAUGUUUAUAUUUGGAGAGGAUUGGCCUCUGGAGUGUUCUGUUCAUUGUAUUUCUUGAUUGUAAUAGGGAAUAGGAUUUUGAUUAGAAUCAGUGAAGUCCCUAUUGUAACGCUGAUUCUGUUCUUAGAUAUUAAUAUCAAUAUCUCAGCAUUUUCCUUUGACCC